CUGGACGUUACAUUUCCAGAAAUCUAUAUGAAUGCAGAGACACAGACGAGGCAGAAUCCUGGGUCAGAAUGUCACAGUGAACCAACAUUAUUCCACAGAGCAAAUAUGGCUUUGUGUGUGUGUGUGUGUGUGUGUGUGUGUGUGUGUGUGCGCAGUGUCACUCUGUCUUUCUAGUAGCAGACACAGGCUUGUAAGGGAGGCGUCACACCUUCAUUUAUUCAUCAACCUGCUGGGAAACGUCAAAGAGAGACAAGGUCAAUACAUUAUUACAAACACACGAGCACAUACACACACACACACGCACACACACACCCUUUCAGUCUUCCUAUAGAAAGGCCAUGUAUACAGCACAUACUUCUCUAGGAUACCUCUGCCAACAAAGACUGUAAUGACUUGUGUUAAAUGGUAUCACAGUACACACACGUGCUGUAUUUCACAGACUUGUUGGCUGAAUGGGUUGUGAAUCUGAGCCCAGAAAGCACACACACACACACACACACACCCUAUGAACUGCUCCAGAUCAGCUGAGUCAGCAUGCCAAGAUAAAAUAGACUUUAGACGAAACAAGCCCUGUAACCUGGAGACACAUGGCUCACAUGCUCAUGAUCAGUACACUAUUCUGACACACCCAGGGACAAAGAACAUCUACAAAGACAAAGGAUCAGACACACACACACACACAAGGUAAAAAGACACUAAACACACACACACAAGCCAGUUUGGGUAACACAACCAUGUGCAUGUGCUACUUCGCAUCUGGCUCCUCUUAGACUGAGACACAAAAGAAGUAGUAUGUGUGGUGAAUGUGUGUGUGUGUGUGUGUGUGUGUGUGUGUGUGUGUGUGGUUGUCAUUUGGUCAGUGCUUUGAUAGCUGGUGGACGGGGAGGAGAGCUCACCAUGAGUCCACACAGGAGAAGUGAGAGGGGCCAGCUGCUGUCAUAUACACAAACCACAUGCAGCUGUUCAGCGUCUGCCUGAGAGCUGCCUGGACAAGCCAAUCAGCCACAUACCUUGGAGCCAGUGUUUCCGGAGGAUGGGAGAGGACAAUCACCACAGCAACAUUACAUAGGGAUUACAUCAUUUCUAAUGGGACUGUUCUUUUGUUAGAUGUUCACAUACUUUGGCAGAUGUUGUGUGUAUGUGUGUUUUCACUCAUAUCCAGUGUCUUCAAAAAUGAGCUCUGUGUUGAAUGUACAAUCACUAAAGCUCAAGUUACUGCCA